rnacentral:rRNA from 1 species
UACGAAGGGGGCGAGCGUUGUUCGGAAUUACUGGGCGUAAGGGCGCGUAGGCGGCCGAUCAAGUCAGAUGUGAAAGUCCUGGGCUUAACCUGGGGACUGCAUUUGAUACUGAUUGGCUUGAAUGCAGGAGAGGAUAGCGGAAUUCCCAGUGUAGAGGUGAAAUUCGUAGAUAUUGGGAAGAACACCGGUGGCGAAGGCGGCUAUCUGGACUGUGAUUGACGCUGAGGCGCGAAAGCGUGGGGAGCAAACAGG